GCCUGGGACUACGUGUGUCUGGGGCCUUCUCUUCUUCCCUGGCCUCUUGCCAGGAGGGGGCUAGCUGUAGCCCUGCACCUCCAGGCCUGAAGGCCAUGUGCCCUCGGCUUCCUGGCCUAGAUGUUCCUCCACAUGGCUGGUUCCUGGUGCUUGAGACUCCCACUCCCUGAGGAUAGAAAAGGAAACAAAAGGAAACCUGCUCCAGCCAUAGAACAUCAGAAUGACAGAUGGGAAGGACCGACAAACCUGAAUCUCUAAAGCACACAGAAUGUUCCACUCUGGUUUGGAGAAAGAAACGAAUCCUGCCUGGUGACAUGCACCCACACGUGAAGACUUCAUACGGAAACUGCACCAUUUCUCCAGCAUUUUGUAAGCAAAAAGGUACAGCCCUGUCCCUAAAACAGGAAAACGGACAGAAGAGAAGGCGGUGAUUCCUGCUCAGAGACCCAGGACCUUCUCCAAACUGAACAGAAUGUGAAAUGUGAUUUUGUUCUCCUCGUUGAUGCUCUACACACCAACAUGCCUAUAUUUACAGAUAGGAAGUAAUGAAGGCUAAGUGAAGAUAUAAGGAAAGGGGCAAAAAGCCAGAGGGAAGUAUGUGUUACACCAUCUCUGGCCCAACAGCGACAAAGGAAGAAAACAGUGAGUAUGAAGCUCCAUAAGGAUGGAACGUCUUCAGGUGUGACUGUUUCAACGUUUAAAAGGCUAAUAUGGCUCAAAGUGAACAGUGAACAUCUGAGCUGCUCCCUGUAAGGUACCCUAUGGUCGAGUUUCCAGGCAUGGUGGCCUUGGGUUCAUGAGUUUCAGUAAUAGAAAACAAAACAAACAAACAAAAAAAACUGGGCCCAAUAAAUCUAAGGCUCUGGAUAUGGAAUUUUCUUGCAUUGGUUCUUAGUGAUUUUAGUCAGGACCACUCUUUCCAAACAUUUCAGCACUGUCUCAACUGACUUAUCAUGUAUUUUGGGCAUGGACUCGGGCACGGAUAAAGCUCU